AGUGGGGAAUAUUGCACAAUGGAGGAAACUCUGAUGCAGCAACGCCGCGUGGAGGAUGACGCAUUUCGGUGUGUAAACUCCUUUUAUAUGGGAAGAUAAUGACGGUACCAUAUGAAUAAGCACCGGCUAACUCCGUGCCAGCAGCCGCGGUAAUACGGAGGGUGCAAGCGUUACUCGGAAUCACUGGGCGUAAAGCGCGCGCAGGCGGCUUUGAAAGUCAGAUGUGAAAGCCUAUGGCUCAACCAUAGAACUGCAUUUGAAACUUCAAAGCUAGAGUCUGGGAGAGGAAGAUGGAAUUAGUUGUGUAGGGGUAAAAUCCGUAGAGAUAACUAGGAAUACCAAAAGCGAAGGCGAUCUUCUGGAACAGUACUGACGCUGAGGCGCGAAAGCGUGGGGAGCAAACAGGAUUAGAUACCCUGGUAGUCCACGCCCUAAACGAUGAAUGUUAGUCGUUGGAGCUCUAGUAGCUUCAGUGAUGCAGCUAACGCAUUAAACAUUCCGCCUGGGGAGUACGGUCGCAAGAUUAAAACUCAAAGGAAUAGACGGGGACCCGCACAAGUGGUGGAGCAUGUGGUUUAAUUCGAAGAUACGCGAAGAACCUUACCUGGCCUUGACAUUGAUAGAACACAGUAGAGAUACAGUGGUGCCCUUCGGGGAGCUUGAAAACAGGUGCUGCACGGCUGUCGUCAGCUCGUGUCGUGAGAUGUUGGGUUAAGUCCCGCAACGAGCGCAACCCUCGUGACUAGUUACUAACGGUUGGGCUGAACACUUUAAGGAGACUGCCUGGGCAACCAGGAGGAAGGUGGGGACGACGUCAAGUCAUCAUGGCCCUUAUGCCUAGGGCGACACACGUGCUACAAUGGAUAGGAUAAAAAGAAGCGAUACGGUGACGUGGAGCAAAUCUCAAAACCUAUUCUCAGUUCGGAUUGUAGUCUGCAACUCGACUACAUGAAGUUGGAAUCGCUAGUAAUCGUGGAUCAGCCAUGCCACGGUGAAUACGU
rnacentral:rRNA from 1 species